CACGUAGGGUGCGAGCGUUAUCCGGAUUUACUGGGCGUAAAGCGCGCGCAGGCGGUGUCGUAAGUUGGACGUGAAAUCUUUCGGCUUAACCGGGAGGCGCCGUUCAAUACUGCGGCACUAGAGGGCAGAAGAGGGGAGUGGAAUUCCCGGUGUAGGGGUAAAAUCCUUAGAGAUCGGGAGGAACACCAGUGGCGAAGGCGGCUCCCUGGCCUGUUCCUGACGCUGAGGCGCGAAAGCGUGGGGAGCGAACGGGAUUAGAUACCCCCGUAGUCC
rnacentral:rRNA from 1 species